UGUCUCAUUACAGAAACACAUGUUUGAUUGCACUUUUGUAAAAGUUUAUUUGGUUUACUUAAUUAACUUAUCUGUUUUUGCUUUUCUGUGCCUAUAACAAUGCAUUUUUAAAAGAAGCAUGCUAUUGGGAACUAAAAGCUUGUUUGAGAUUUAAAAACUUUUGAACAGAAGAAAAAAAAUAAAUAUUUAUGCAGCACUGUGACAUCACAAAUCCAGAGCAUCAAGUGUCUGUCUUAAACUUCACUCAGUUUUAUAUUAAGCUUUACUUUCUGUACCAUAGAAAUGGAAAAUUACAAUAGAAAAAUCCUCAAAUAAGGUCUAAAGUUAAAGCUCCACUGGUUAAAAAGCAAAGUGCUGUAAAGACAUUCCUUAUAUACGCUGUUUAUCACAUGCAUCAAGUUUGUUUCUGACAAAUGUUUAUAUUCUCUUGACAUUUUUAAAGGUUUUUGUUUAAAAUGUGUGUUAUUUAUGAUGUGUUACGGUUCUUGUUUUACUUUUACAAAGGGGUCACAGGGUUAAAUGCAAGAUGAAGCUUUUGUGUUUACAUUUUUCCCAAAAGCUAAAGUGAAAACUGACAGUGGAAUGCAAAAAGCUCCUCUGUAUAAACAUCUUUGACUUCAUUUCACGCUUCAUUUUUUUCAACCCCUAACAAAAUCAUUUUAAAAGAAACAAUAAAGUCUAUGGAAAUAUCCCCACUUCAUUAAAGUGUUUAUAUGAUGAGAUAUUCUUCUUCCGUCUUGGUCAGAAAGGCAGCAGGGUUUUUUUAAGGGACUGUGAUGUCAUUUCCAAUGAUGCUGAGCUGGAUCGAGCGCAGACAGAGAGGAACACAGCGGGCUGCUGGGAGGAUGUGAUGCACAACAGGACUGCAGACGAGAGACAUUUCAUCUCGAAGAGGUCAAUGAGCUCUUUACUCCAUCCAGUAAGCUGGGACACAAUUCACGUUGGAAAUCUGGACAUUUCGUCGAUUUUGUGUCCAACAAAGAACCGCUUUGCCUGCUAUCCUGGUGGACGGACUUCCACGCUCUGGUUCAACCACCAAGAGGAGGCUCUUCUCUGAUGUUGUUUCUCUUUCUUUUUGACAAAUGUGUCCCAUUUAAAACGUUUCAUGCCAUGUCUUGCAGCUGUAAGGAAUGAGGAGUCUAGUUUGUUAAUAUUUUCAUCUCCUGGUUACCCAGCACUCUUUUUUACAAGUGGGGUUCUAUUUUUCUACUCACUGAUUUCUGUUAUUUACAGGAGAAAGAAAUGUGAUUUAUACAAUAAUAAUAGUGAUUAGGCCUAUUUUCAUGAAAAUUCUUGAUCUUUAAAGCUACAAAUAUGAAUAAUUUUGUCUAUACGUAUUAGAAAUUUCACGAUAAAUAAUGCAUCUUUGCUUCAUGAGGAUGUGUUAACAUCUCUGCGUGGACUACAUACCUUCACUUUCUGCGUGCACACACACCAUGGGUUGUGUUGCAUGCACCCAGCUGGUUGACAUGUGGUCAGUGAGGGCCAGAAGGACAGGUCGAAGGGCCAUGGAGCUGGCCACCUACCCCCACAUGCUGCAGGGGGGCUACCACAGAGUGACGGGGCUGCACUACAUGUCCUCCUUCUCUGACGCCGAGGACUGCUGCGACGACACCAGCUCGGGAAGCUCGCUGACGCUGGAUUGGGAGGGUCAAGGUCCUGAUGGCUGACGGUCAUGUGGGGCAUGGCGAAUCCUGAAAGUGUUUGAGGAAAUCACACACGUUUGGUAAACAAGCCCUUACCAUUAAAUUUAAAAGCUAUAUAUCAUAUGUGUGUAUUUAUAUACUACAACAUUUCAGGACUAAAGAUAUUAAAACACUUCCAAAUGCAUCAAAUAUUGUGAAAGAUGAAGGAAAUAUUUUUAAUUCAGACUUUUAUUUUGAAAAACGUCCCAUUUAAAUGUGUGGACUUUUUUUUAUUUCAAGGUAAAGCUUUACUUCAAUCAUUUAUCUUGACUUUUUGAUUACUUUGGGGAUUACUGGUUAAAUUUAGGUAAAAAAAACAUAAUUACACGUUUUAAAUCCUGUUGCUUCAUUGUGUAAAAUCAAAACAGUGCAAUAUUUGCUCUUGAAAUAUGAUGACUAAUUCCAGUUUGUGUUUGAAUCCAGCUUUGUGUUUUCAUAGCCUCUAGCUGAGUUGAAUGAUGGCAGAUUGAGUAACUGUACUAGAACAACGAAUCACAGCUUCUCCGGUGGCUGCAGUGGAAAUUUUAAUGUUUUGAAAUAAACUUGUGACCCAUAUUA